GAUGAACGCUGGCGGCGUGCCUAAUACAUGCAAGUCGAGCGAACGGACGAGAAGCUUGCUUCUCUGAUGUUAGCGGCGGACGGGUGAGUAACGCGUGGAUAACCUACCUAUAAGACUGGGAUAACUUCGGGAAACCGGAGCUAAUACCGGAUAAUAUUUUGAACCGCAUGGUUCAAAAGUGAAAGACGGUCUUGCUGUCACUUAUAGAUGGAUCCGCGCUGCAUUAGCUAGUUGGUAAGGUAACGGCUUACCAAGGCAACGAUGCAUAGCCGACCUGAGAGGGUGAUCGGCCACACUGGAACUGAGACACGGUCCAGACUCCUACGGGAGGCAGCAGUAGGGAAUCUUCCGCAAUGGGCGAAAGCCUGACGGAGCAACGCCGCGUGAGUGAUGAAGGUCUUCGGAUCGUAAAACUCUGUUAUUAGGGAAGAACAUAUGUGUAAGUAACUGUGCACAUCUUGACGGUACCUAAUCAGAAAGCCACGGCUAACUACGUGCCAGCAGCCGCGGUAAUACGUAGGUGGCAAGCGUUAUCCGGAAUUAUUGGGCGUAAAGCGCGCGUAGGCGGUUUUUUAAGUCUGAUGUGAAAGCCCACGGCUCAACCGUGGAGGGUCAUUGGAAACUGGAAAACUUGAGUGCAGAAGAGGAAAGUGGAAUUCCAUGUGUAGCGGUGAAAUGCGCAGAGAUAUGGAGGAACACCAGUGGCGAAGGCGACUUUCUGGUCUGUAACUGACGCUGAUGUGCGAAAGCGUGGGGAUCAAACAGGAUUAGAUACCCUGGUAGUCCACGCCGUAAACGAUGAGUGCUAAGUGUUAGGGGGUUUCCGCCCCUUAGUGCUGCAGCUAACGCAUUAAGCACUCCGCCUGGGGAGUACGACCGCAAGGUUGAAACUCAAAGGAAUUGACGGGGACCCGCACAAGCGGUGGAGCAUGUGGUUUAAUUCGAAGCAACGCGAAGAACCUUACCAAAUCUUGACAUCCUUUGACAACUCUAGAGAUAGAGCUUUCCCCUUCGGGGGACAAAGUGACAGGUGGUGCAUGGUUGUCGUCAGCUCGUGUCGUGAGAUGUUGGGUUAAGUCCCGCAACGAGCGCAACCCUUAAGCUUAGUUGCCAUCAUUAAGUUGGGCACUCUAAGUUGACUGCCGGUGACAAACCGGAGGAAGGUGGGGAUGACGUCAAAUCAUCAUGCCCCUUAUGAUUUGGGCUACACACGUGCUACAAUGGACAAUACAAAGGGCAGCGAAACCGCGAGGUCAAGCAAAUCCCAUAAAGUUGUUCUCAGUUCGGAUUGUAGUCUGCAACUCGACUACAUGAAGCUGGAAUCGCUAGUAAUCGUAGAUCAGCAUGCUACGGUGAAUACGUUCCCGGGUCU
rnacentral:rRNA from 1 species